rnacentral:SRP_RNA from 1 species
GUUGUGGAAUAUGUCUGUAAUCCCAACCACUAAGGAAGCCAAGGCUUGUGGAACUCUUGAGCUCAGGCGUUUUGUGCCACGGUGGGCCAUGCUGAUUGGGUAUCUACACUAAAUUCAGCAUUAAUGUGGUGAGUCUCUGGGAUCAGGGAACCAGUAGGUUGCUUAAGGAAUGGUGACCUGGCCCAGAUCAGAAAUGGAGUAGGUCAAAGCCCCUGUCCCAAUCAGUAAUGGGACUGGGUCUAUGAGUAGCCUCUGCUCUUCCAGCUCAGCUGAGAUAGGCACACCCAGUCUUAG